rnacentral:rRNA from 1 species
ACCCUAGGUCAGGUGGGAUUACCCACUGAGUUUAAGCAAAUUAAUAAGUAGAGGAAAAGAAAUUUAUCAAGAUUCCCUUAGUAACAACGAGUGAACCAAAAAGAGCCCAGCGUGAGAAUCGGGCAUUCUUGACAUUUGAAUUGUAGUCUAGAGAAGCAUCUUCAGUGGUAGACUGAGCCUAAGUCCUCUGGAAAAGGGCUCUACAGCGGUUGAGAGUCAUGUUGUGCCUAGACCCUAUUGCACCAUGAAACGCUAUUUGUGAGUCAAGUUGCUUGAGAAUGCAACCAAAAUCAAAUGAUAAAUUUCAUCCAAGGCAAAAUAUGGGUGAGAGAUUGAUAAUGAACAAGUACUAUGAGGGAAAGAUAAAAAGGACUUUGAAAAAAGAGUUAAAAAGUGCUUGAAAGUAUUGAGAGGGAAGAAUAUUGGGUUAGGCGAUGCACCUCAGUUGGAUUUGGAACAAUAAGAGCUGAUUCGUAGAUCAACUUGUGGUGUGGACUUAUAUGGGUUAUGGUAACAGCCCAAGUCUACACUUUUGAUAUGCCUAUGGAGACAUCAUUGUUGUGAUCGUGGAAUGUAGCACGCAUCAUCUUGGCAUGCCCUAGCACCUACGUGCUUCCAACAUCGGCCUAUAGGCUCCCCAUCCGACCAUUCUUGAAAUAGGACCAAGGAGUCUAGCAUGUGUGUGAAUCAAUGGGCUAGAAAACCCAUAAGGCACAAGGAAGCCAAUUAAUAGGAUCCCUUAUGGGUGCAGCACUAACCAACCUUAAUCUUCUGAGUAUGGUUCAAGUGUAAGCAUGCUUGUCAGAACUCGAAAGAUGGUGAGCUAUGUCUAAGUAGGUGAAGCCAUAGGAAACUUUAGUGAAGACCCACAAUGAUAUUAACAUGCAAAUUAUUCAUUUGACUUGGGUAUAAGGGUGAAAGACUAAUCAAACCGUUUGGUAGAUAGUUGCAUCCAAAGUUUCCCUUAGGAUAGCUAGAGCCCAUAACGAGUUCUAUCAAGUAACACCAAUGAUUAGAGGCAUCGAGGGUGCAACACCUUUGGCCUGUUCUUAAACUUUAAAUAUGUAGGAUAAUGUGGCUACUUCGUUUAGUCACACCAUGAAAUCAAGAGCUCCAAGUGGGCCUUUUUUUGUAAGCAAAACUGGUGAUGUAGGAUGAACCAAAAGCUGGGUUACAAUGCCUAACUACACACUAACCUAGAACCUACAAGGGUGUUGGUCAAUUAAGAUAACAGAACGGUGGUCAUGGAAGUCGAAAACCUCUAAAGAGUAUGUAACAACUCACCUACUAAAUCAACUAGCCUAAAAAAUGGUUGGCACUUAAGCACACAACUUGCACCCAACCAUUAAGGCAUACGUUAGUCUCUGAUAAGUAAGAAGGCAUGGUGGUUGCCACAAAAUCUAAGGUGUGUGCCUGAUAAGAACUUUGAUGGGUGAAGAAAGGAGGGGUUUCAUGUGAAUGUCACUUGCACAUGGGUUAGUCAAUCCUAAGAGACGAGGGAAGCCCAUCUGAUAGUGCAUCCAAUAUGAGCUUCGAAAGGAAAUCGAGUUAAAAUUCUUGAAUUGAGAUGCAAUGACUGCUAGCAAUGUUAAGGAGUUCAAAGACAUUGGUGAAGGCCUUGGGAAGAGUUAUCUUUUCUGUUUAAUGGUCUACCCGCCUUGGAAAUGACUUAACUAGAGGUAGGGUCCAAUGGUUGAAACAACAUAGUACAUUAUAUGGUGUAUGAUGUGCCCACGGUGGCCCUUGAAAAUCCAAAAGAUCAAGUGCCGUCUGUACUCGAUCGUACUCAUAAUCGUAUUAGGUCUCCAAGGUGAACAGGCUGUGGUUGAUGAAACAAUAUAGACAAGGGAUGUCGACAAAGUGGAUUCAUAACCUCAAGAAAAAGAUUGGCUCUGAGAGCUAGGCAUGAGGGUCCCAAUCCCAAACACAUUGGUUGUUAGUGCAUUGCUUGAGCUACUCUCAUGGUAAGAGUGGGUCACCAUGUAUUGAUUAGGGGAUAGAUUAGGAAUGGCACCCAUGAUGGCCUUUUUUGAGUGACUAAUAGUCUACUCAAAAUUGGUACGAACAUGGGGAAUCUAACUAUUUAAUUAAAAUAAAGCAUUCUAAUUGUCCUUGUAGAUGCUCGUGCAAUGUGACUUUUGUGCAGUGCUCAAAAGUUAAAGUGAAGAAAUUUAAGUAAGCGUAAGUAAAUUACAUGAGUAACUAUGACUCUCUUAAAGUAGCCAAAUGCCUCGUCAUCUAAAUAGUGAUAUGGAUUAACAAGAUUCCUAAUAUCCCUAUCUACUAUCCAGCGAAACCAUAGCUAAAGGAAUAAGCAUGGUAAAAUCAAUCGAGAAAGAAGACCUUAUUCAACUUGACUCUAGUUCAACUUUUUGAAAUGACUUGAGAGGUGUGGGAUAAGUGGUAGCCCUCAAGCAAAAUUCAAAUACCAUUACUUUAAUGUUAUUUUACUUAUUUCAUGAAUCAAAGGCAGGGCACAACCUCUUCUUUUAAAGCUAAGGUUGACCAUGUCCAGUCAAACUAGGCUAAAGACAUUGUCAAGUAGGGAGCUUGGCCAGGGUAGCACAUUUAUUAAAAGACGACAUAGGUGUCCUAAGAUGAGCUCAAUGAUAGCAGAAUCUCAUGUGGAACAAAAGGGUAAAAGCUUAUUUGAUUUUUAUUUUUAGUAUGAAUACAAACCAUGAAAUUAUGGCCUAUCGAUCAUUUAAACCUUCGAAAUUUGAAGCUAAAGCUGUCAAAAAAGUUACCACAAGGAUAACUGGCUUAUGGUAGCCAAAUGUUCAUAGCAACAUGCAUUUUGAUCCUUUGAUGUCAACUUUUCCUAUCAUUAUGAAGUAGAAUUCACUAAGUGUUGGAUUGUUCUCCCACUAAUAGGGACCAUCAGUUAGGUUUAGACUUUGUGUGAUAGGUUAGUUUUACCCUAUUAAUGGCAACAUCACAAUAGUAAUUCAACCUAUUACGGAUAAGCCAUUGAUUCACACAAUUGGUCUUCAUAUUUGAUUGAAAAUCUAGUGGCAUGAAGCUAUUGUACCCUAGAUUAUAUCUGAAUGCUUCUAAGUCAUAAUUCAGAUGUGCUAUUGCUUGAUUGUCAACCCGUAGUAUAGGCCUAUGGCCUCCAAGGGCAUAUGUCGUAGGUGUAGCCCUUGUAGCGAACAAGCCACGUGGGCCUCCUUAGAGCUCAAUUCCUACUGAGUGGCAGGUAAAAUCCUUUACAUAUGACUUAAAUAUGCAAUAGGGUAUUGUAAGUAAUAAAGUGGCCUUACUACCAUGAUCCAUUGAGAUUUAAC